AGUGAACGCUGGCGGUAGGCCUAACACAUGCAAGUCGAACGGCAGCACAGUAAGAGCUUGCUCUUACGGGUGGCGAGUGGCGGACGGGUGAGGAAUACAUCGGAAUCUACUUUUUCGUGGGGGAUAACGUAGGGAAACUUACGCUAAUACCGCAUACGACCUACGGGUGAAAGCAGGGGAUCUUCGGACCUUGCGCGAUUGAAUGAGCCGAUGUCGGAUUAGCUAGUUGGCGGGGUAAAGGCCCACCAAGGCGACGAUCCGUAGCUGGUCUGAGAGGAUGAUCAGCACCACUGGAACUGAGCCGCGGUCCAGACUCCUACGGGAGGCAGCAGUGGGGAAUAUUGGACAAUGGGCACAAGCCUGAUCCAGCCAUACCGCGUGGGUGAAGAAGGCCUUCGGGUUGUAAAGCCCUUUUGUUGGGAAAGAAAAGCAGCAGGUUAAUACCCCGCUGUUCUGACGGUACCCAAAGAAUAAGCACCGGCUCACUUC
rnacentral:rRNA from 1 species